GCCACCGGCAAGGAGGGACGCCAAUAAGGCAUCAGAUAAGAUAAGUCUUAUAAAAUAUAUAGAUUUGUGACAAUUGAGACUGAGCUAACAGAUGAGAAUCCUAGUCAUUGGCCAAGCAGCUUUGAACCUAAUACAAGUUUCUGUGUAUUCAUUUGGGCCCUAACUCUGGCGGACGGCUGGCGUAAAGCUCACACGUGGCAGUGAAGCUCAGGUGGCUUUUGACAGAAAGAUUUAUCAUAACAUAUAAAUCUGUUGUUUUUUUUUAUCUAAGUUGCUCUGGUAUCAAUAAAGACUCAGGAGUCAGAUAUUGGGGUGAAAACCUGAUAGAUCAAAGAAGUGGUGGAGGAACAACCAGAUGACCUUCUCCCCACACUUUCCAGACCCAAAAGGAAGGAAGAAGAGCUCACAAAUUGCCAAGUUCCUCCCUAUUCCUUCCUGUGCCUUUCUAUGCCCUCCUUAUACUCUAUGACUAAUUCUUGACAACUGGUUGCUAGCUCCACCCCCUGAUUCGAGACUAACUUUAUUAACACAGUCUCGGGGUGUCACAGUGUGAUCAAAUACCCCACAACAAAAACCUCCAAGAAACUGUUACCACCUUCGACCACGGUGCAUGGGGCAACCUGAAUCUGCAUUCCUGGAUCAUGGUCACUCAUAUUUGGCUCUAGAAUAAACUCCUAUUCUCUUUGAGGAAAUGUCACCAGAGCCGUUGUUGGAACAGGGUGUGUCAUCUGCUGGGAGUUUGACGUCAGGAUCCUGAGGUGAGAGAGAGAUGGUAACUCCAUCUUGCUCAAGCUGCUAACCCUGUUCUCCAAGAAGGGAACUGCAAUUGCUCACAAUGGCCACCAGGGGGAGGCAAAUAGAGCUGCGUGAGGAAACCAGAGUUCUUAACUAAGGUGAUUGGCACUAGUCACUUUGGUUGCUCCCAUGCUGCUCCCUUUCUUGUAAAUGCCUGGCUCCAGCCCUUUAGCCAAUUGUCAGCUUCCCAAAUGACUUCUUUGUAGUCUAACCAACGUAAGCCCUGGAGGAUGGGAGAGCCAAGGACACCAACACUGUGCAGCUGACCUGAGGUGAUUCUUGACUGGCACUGUCUAGCCUCCCCGGGUCUCCACCCUGUUUCUCCAGCACAGCCAUCCAUUCUGUGACUUCCAGAUAGACCUCCAGGCUUACAGCCUCCUUCCGCAGCUUGCACAACGGCAGAAGCUGCCAGACGCUCCCCAAUCCUGUUUCCUCUUUUCCCCAGGCACGCAAGACCACCGAAUCUCCCUUGCAGUCAGCUCAGGACAACUGUGGCCAAAGGGAGCUCAUCACGGCCUCUGACCUAUUGCUACACUUUCUCUUCCCCUUCCACAAUGACUUCAAAAGCUCCUUGGUUAAGGCGACAGUCGCAAAAUGGAAGGGGCCAGGUCCUCAAGUCCUGCUUGUUGAGAAGAAACACCCCCAACCGCACACACCUAGCAUCAAAGCAUAAAAAUAAUUGUAAGGCCACCAAGAAUGGAGGGGAGGUGGCAUCAGAAUCUGGAGUCUAACACUUUGACUAACACCAGCCAUAACCCUUGGCCAACCCAAUUCCCAUCAUCACUGGCACAGCUGUUACUGGCAUGGUUACUGUUAGUACAGUAGCUGUUCAAAUAGCCUCAGUGGUAGUGUUAUGAGGUAAAGACCCAAAGACCACUCAGCCUGACCAAAGUUCAAGUUGAGAAUCUUUAUUGAGCAGGCUGGUGACUGCCUGGAGAGAAACACUUCCCACAGAGCAUGCCCAAAUGCAUUCUACGGGGAGCUUUUAAAGACAAAGAGCACGGGAAAGCUACACCCUGCUUGGCAGUUGCAGGGGGGAGCAAGCAAGCAGUUUCACAGGAGACAAGAAUGUGCGGUUAAUGAUAG
ensembl:lncRNA